UGGGAUACUUGGAGUGUCUCCUGAGUGGC
rnacentral:piRNA from 1 species